UAUAUAAUAAUUUAAGAAAAAUGUUAAAUUGUAAAUUUAAAUUUGAGAGGAUUUCUCUUAUAUAA
rnacentral:tRNA from 1 species